AUUGAACGCUGGCGGCAGGCCUAACACAUGCAAGUCGAGCGGAUGAAGGGAGCUUGCUCCUGGAUUCAGCGGCGGACGGGUGAGUAAUGCCUAGGAAUCUGCCUGGUAGUGGGGGAUAACGUCCGGAAACGGGCGCUAAUACCGCAUACGUCCUGAGGGAGAAAGUGGGGGAUCUUCGGACCUCACGCUAUCAGAUGAGCCUAGGUCGGAUUAGCUAGUUGGUGGGGUAAAGGCCUACCAAGGCGACGAUCCGUAACUGGUCUGAGGGGAUGAUCAGUCACACUGGAACUAAGACAGGGUGCAGACUCCUACGGGAGGCAGGCGUGGGGAAUAGUGGAAAAUGUGUUUAAGCCUAGUCAAGCCAUGCAGGUUGGGUGAAGAAGUUCUUCGGAAUUUAGAGCACUUUAAGUUGGGAAGAAGGGCAGUAAGAUCAUCCAUUGCUGUUUCAGGGUGAGCAUCAAAAUAAGCAAAGGCUGACCUCGUG
rnacentral:rRNA from 1 species